AACCUGGUUGAUCCUGCCAGUAGCAUAUGCUUAUCUUGGAGAUUAAGCCAUGCAUGUCUAAGUAUAAGUUAUAUAUGGCGAAACUGCGAAUGGCUCAUUAAAACAGUUAUAGUAUAUUUGAUAAUGUUUUUAUACGGAUAACCGUUGGGAAACCAGAGCUAAUACGUGCUUAAAGCCUUCGGGUGUAUUUAUUAGUUAUAAACCAAUAGCAUUGCUAAUGUGAUGAAUCAUAAUAACUGAUCGGAGCGCGUCUGUACGCGCUAAAUCUUUCUAGUUUCUGCCCUAUCAGCUUUCGAUGGUAGUGUAUUGGACUACCAUGGCUAUCACGGGUAACGGAGAAUUAGGGUUCGAUUCCGGAGAGGGAGCCUGAGAAACGGCUACCACAACUACGGUAGGCAGCAGGCGCGUAAAUUACCCAAUCCUGACUCAGGGAGGUAGUCACGAGAAAUCUUGAAUCGGCCCAAGCUGGCUGAGUACAUGAUGGAUUGAAUAUAAACCAUUCUUUGAAAUCAAUUGGAGGGCAAGUCUGGUGCCAGCAGCCGCGGUAACUCCAGCUCCAAUAGUGUAUCUUAACGUUGUUGCAGUUAAAAAGCUCGUAGUUGAAUUUCUGAGGGGGUGUCUCAAGGUACGUCCUGUUACUGCCCUCUCAUCCGCUUUGGAACCAGGAGAGGUAUUUAGUUACCGGCCUGGGGAAGGGGCAUUUUACUUUGAAGAAAUUAGAGUGUUCCAGGCAGGCUUUUGCUUGAAUACAUCAGCAUGGAAUAAUGGAAUAGGACAAUGUUCAUUUUAUUGGCUAUUGAACUUGUAAUGAUUAACAGGGACAGUUGGGGGCAUUCGUAUUCAUUUGUCAGAGGUGGAAUUCUUGGAUUAACUGAAGACGAACUAAUGCGAAAGCAUUUGCCAAGGAUGUUUUCAUUAAUCAAGAACGAAAGUUAGGGGAUCAAAGACGCUUAGAUACCGUCGUAGUCCUAACUAUAAACUAUACCGACUAGGGAUUGGCAGGGGGGAUGACCCCUGUCAGCACCUAAUGAGAAAUCAAAGUCUUUGGGUUCUGGGGGGAGUAUGGUCGCAAGGCUGAAACUUAAAGGAAUUGACGGAAGGGCACCACCAGGAGUUAACACUUAGUUACAUUAGUAGCCAAAGGCUCGGCUCCAGUAUGUGUCAAGGGAAUAGAGUGCCGCUUAUUUAAGAACAUUAUUCCCUUGGUAAAGCACAUGCUAGUGAACCUAACGGUUUGCAACACUGUCAAAUUGCGGGAACAUGCUAAAGCUCUUAUAACCAACCUGAUGUAGAAAUACGAUCAGGGGCCGGGGUAAUGACCUAGGAUAUGGUAAAAUCAUAAGAGAUGUACAAUGCACAAUCCGCAGCCAAGCCCUAAGGAUUUAUCUAUGGGUGCAGUUCAGAGACUAAACGGCAGUGGACUUUUGAAUAUUGAUUCAUAGGUUUAAGAUAUAGUCCGUUUUAUAUCGAAAGGUAUAAUGUUUGCUUAGCAGCUUUCUUAACGGGAGCCUGCGGCUUAAUUUGAUUCAACACGGGGAAACUUACCAGGGCCAGACCUGAGUAUGAUUGACAGAUUGAGAGCUUUUUCUUGAUGACAGGGAUGGUGGUGCAUGGCCGUUCUUAGUUGGUGGAGUGAUUUGUCCGGUUAAUUCCUUUAACAAACGAGACCUUAACCUGCUAAACUAGAUGUGCUUAUUUCUUAGGCAUUAUCUUCUUAGAGGGACUAUGUGAUUUAAACACAUGGAAGUUUGAGGCAAUAACAGGUCCGUGAUGCCCUUAGAAGUCCUGGGCCGCACGCGUGCUACACUGACUCAUUCAACAAGUAAAACCUAAUCCGAAAGGGGACGGGAAAUCUUUACAACAUGAGUCGUGCUAUGGAUUGAUACUUGCAAUUUUUUAUCAUGAAAUAGGAAUUCCUAGUAAUCAUAAGUCAUCAUCUUGUGGUGAUUACGUCCCUGCCCUUUGUACACACCGCCCGUCGCUCCUACCGAUUGAGUGAUCCGGUGAACUUUUUGGACUAUUCGCCCAUUGCUGGAUAGGAAGUUAAGCAAACCUUAUCACUUAGAGGAAGGAGAAGUCGUAACAAGGUUUCCGUAGGUGAACCUGCAGAAGGAUCA
rnacentral:rRNA from 1 species